rnacentral:rRNA from 1 species
GAGUUUGAUUAUGGCUCAGAGUGAACGCUGGCGGCGUGCUUAACACAUGCAAGUCGAACGAGAACGGGAUAUAGCUUGCUAUAUUUGUCAGCUAAGUGGCGCACGGGUGAGUAAUGUAUAGAUAACCUGCCCUUAAGAAAGGAAUAACAGCUGGAAACGACUGCUAAUGCCCUAUAUGCCUUUAAUACAUAAGUAUGCAAGGGAAACGCUUUAGUGCUUAAGGAUGGGUCUGUAUGGUAUCAGCUUGUUGGUGAGGUAAUGGCUCACCAAGGCUAUGACGCCUAACUGGUUUGAGAGGAUGAUCAGUCACACUGGAACUGAGACACGGUCCAGACUCCUACGGGAGGCAGCAGUGGGGAAUAUUGCACAAUGGACGAAAGUCUGAUGCAGCAACGCCGCGUGGAGGAUGACACAUUUCGGUGCGUAAACUCCUUUUAUAUAGGAAGAUAAUGACGGUACUAUAUGAAUAAGCACCGGCUAACUCCGUGCCAGCAGCCGCGGUAAUACGGAGGGUGCAAGCGUUACUCGGAAUCACUGGGCGUAAAGAGCGUGUAGGCGGGUAUAUAAGUCAGAAGUGAAAUCCAAUAGCUUAACUAUUGAACUGCUUUUGAAACUGUAUACCUAGAAUGUGGGAGAGGUAGAUGGAAUUUCUGGUGUAGGGGUAAAAUCCGUAGAGAUCAGAAGGAAUACCGAUUGCGAAGGCGAUCUACUGGAACAUUAUUGACGCUGAGACGCGAAAGCGUGGGGAGCAAACAGGAUUAGAUACCCUGGUAGUCCACGCCCUAAACGAUGUACACUAGUUGUUGUGAGGCUCGACCUUGCAGUAAUGCAGUUAACACAUUAAGUGUACCGCCUGGGGAGUACGGUCGCAAGAUUAAAACUCAAAGGAAUAGACGGGGACCCGCACAAGCGGUGGGAGCAUGUGGUUAAUUCGACGAUACACGAAGGAACCCUUACCUGGGACUUGACAUAGUAAGGAACUUUUCUAGAAGAUAGAUUGUGUCCUGCUUGGCAGAAACCUUAUAUACAGUGCUGCACGGCUGUCGUCAGCUCGAUGUCGUGAGAUGUGGGAUAAGUCCGGCAACGAG